rnacentral:rRNA from 1 species
UAUCAAUAAGCGGAGGAAAAGAAACCAACAGGGAUUGCCUUAGUAACGGCGAGUGAAGCGGCAAAAGCUCAAAUUUGAAAUCUAGCACCUUCGGUGUUCGAGUUGUAAUUUGAAGAAGGUAACCUUGGGAUUGGCUCUUGUCUAUGUUUCUUGGAACAGAACGUCACAGAGGGUGAGAAUCCCGUGCGAUGAGAUGACCAAUUCUAUGUAAGGUGCUUUCGAAGAGUCGAGUUGUUUGGGAAUGCAGCUCUAAGUGGGUGGUAAAUUCCAUCUAAAGCUAAAUAUUGGCGAGAGACCGAUAGCGAACAAGUACAGUGAUGGAAAGAUGAAAAGAACUUUGAAAAGAGAGUGAAAAAGUACGUGAAAUUGUUGAAAGGGAAGGAUAUGAGAUCAGACUUGGUGUUUUGCAACCUUAUCUUCGGAUGGGGCCCCUGCAGUUCAUCGGGCCAGCAUCAGUUUGGAUGGUAGGAUAAUGACAUUGGAAUGUGACUUGGCUUCGGUUAAGUGUUAUAGCCCUUGUUGAUACUGCCUGUCUAGACUGAGGACUGCGUCUUUGACUAGGAUGCUGGCAUAAUGAUCCUAUAUCGC